CCUUGGCCAUGUAAAAGUGCUUACAGUGCAGGUAGCUUUUUGAGAUCUACUGCAAUGCAAGCACUUCUUACAUUACCAUGG
ensembl:miRNA